UGCUGGAGGUAUCAGAAGUGCGAAUGCUGACAUAAGUAACGAUAAAGCGGGUGAAAAGCCCGCUCGCCGGAAGACCAAGGGUUCCUGUCCAACGUUAAUCGGGGCAGGGUGAGUCGACCCCUAAGGCGAGGCCGAAAGGCGUAGUCGAUGGGAAACAGGUUAAUAUUCCUGUACUUGGUGUUACUGCGAAGGGGGGACGGAGAAGGCUAUGUUAGCCGGGCGACGGUUGUCCCGGUUUAAGCAUGUAGGCUGGUUAUCCAGGCAAAUCCGGAUAAUCAAGGCUGAGGUGUGAUGACGAGGCACUACGGUGCUGAAGUAACAAAUGCCCUGCUUCCAGGAAAAGCCUCUAAGCAUCAGGUAACAUCAAAUCGUACCCCAAACCGACACAGGUGGUCAGGUAGAGAAUACCAAGGCGCUUGAGAGAACUCGGGUGAAGGAACUAGGCAAAAUGGUGCCGUAACUUCGGGAGAAGGCACGCUGGUGUGUAGGUGAAGCCCCUGCGGGUGGAGCUGAGACCAGUCGAAGAUACCAGCUGGCUGCAACUGUUUAUUAAAAACACAGCACUGUGCAAACACGAAAGUGGACGUAUACGGUGUGACGCCUGCCCGGUGCCGGAAGGUUAAUUGAUGGGGUUAUCCGUAAGGAGAAGCUCUUGAUCGAAGCCCCGGUAAACGGCGGCCGUAACUAUAACGGUCCUAAGGUAGCGAAAUUCCUUGUCGGGUAAGUUCCGACCUGCACGAAUGGCGUAAUGAUGGCCAGGCUGUCUCCACCCGAGACUCAGUGAAAUUGAACUCGCUGUGAAGAUGCAGUGUACCCGCGGCAAGACGGAAAGACCCCGUGAACCUUUACUAUAGCUUGACACUGAACAUUGAGCCUUGAUGUGUAGGAUAGGUGGGAGGCUUUGAAGCGUGGACGCCAGUCUGCGUGGAGCCAACCUUGAAAUACCACCCUUUAAUGUUUGAUGUUCUAACGUGGGCCCCUAAUCGGGGUUGCGGACAGUGUCUGGUGGGUAGUUUGACUGGGGCGGUCUCCUCCCAAAGCGUAACGGAGGAGCACGAAGGUUAGCUAAUCCUGGUCGGACAUCAGGAGGUUAGUGCAAUGGCAUAAGCUAGCUUGACUGCGAGCGUGACGGCGCGAGCAGGUGCGAAAGCAGGUCAUAGUGAUCCGGUGGUUCUGAAUGGAAGGGCCAUCGCUCAACGGAUAAAAGGUACUCCGGGGAUAACAGGCUGAUACCGCCCAAGAGUUCAUAUCGACGGCGGUGUUUGGCACCUCGAUGUCGGCUCAUCACAUCCUGGGGCUGAAGUAGGUCCCAAGGGUAUGGCUGUUCGCCAUUUAAAGUGGUACGCGAGCUGGGUUUAGAACGUCGUGAGACAGUUCGGUCCCUAUCUGCCGUGGGCGCUGGAGAAUUGAGGGGGGCUGCUCCUAGUACGAGAGGACCGGAGUGGACGCAUCACUGGUGUUCGGGUUGUCAUGCCAAUGGCACUGCCCGGUAGCUAAAUGCGGAAGAGAUAAGUGCUGAAAGCAUCUAAGCACGAAACUUGCCCCGAGAUGAGUUCUCCCUGAGACUUUAAGUCUCCUGAAGGAACGUUGAAGACGACGACGUUGAUAGGCCGGGUGUGUAAGCGCAGCGAUGCGUUGAGCUAACCGGUACUAAUGAACCGUGAGGCUUAACCUU
rnacentral:rRNA from 1 species